AUUGAACGCUGGCGGCAGGCCUAACACAUGCAAGUCGAACGACUGGCGGACGGGUGAGUAAUGUCAUGGAAACUGCCUGAUGGUGGGGGAUAACUACUGGAAACGGUAGCUAAUACCGCAUACCAUCGGAUGUGCCCAGAUGGGAUUAGCUAGUAGGUGGGGUAACGGCUAACCUAGGCGACGAUCCCUAGCUGGUCUGAGAGGAUGACCAUCCACACUGGAACUUAGCCACGGUCCAGACUCCUAAGGGAGGCAGCAGGGGGGAAUAUUGCACAAAGGGCGCAAGCCUGAUGCAGCCAUGCCGCGUGUAUGAAGAAGGCCUUCGGGUUGUAAAGUACUUUCAGCUGGGAGGCGUUACCCGCAGAAGAAGCACCGGCUAACUCCGUGCCAGCAGCCGCGGUAAUUC
rnacentral:rRNA from 1 species